UUUAUCCCAGUGGGGCCCAGACCCGCGCAACCAGGCGGGGAGGGGAGGUGGGCGCGCGAUUGGGUUGCGAUCUGGAGCAGUGGGGACAGGUCAGUUUUCUUUCCAGGAACCGGCGCGUAUUUCUGCAGUGAGACCACAGGACGGACAUCGGCGCCUUCGGCUUCGAUGGAGUUGCGAUUUUGCUCUUUCCAGGGAAACAGUGGCAGGGUGUUUGCUGCUUAUCGGUUCCUGCGGAUAUGCCUGGGUCCCAGGACAUUCCACUGGAGGCUUGGACUGCAUUUAGGAGCCCCUAUCCCUUCCCUGUCCACACUGUUAGUGAGCAAUUUCAUAUGUUUGCAUUUAGACCCAUAGACUCAGAACGACUCAUCACACACACACACAGUGUACACUGACACACUCACAUUCGCACACUUAGGUAUACAGCCUGAUCCUUGCUCUGACCUGGUAACAACGCUUCCUCCUCCAGAGACUUUGAGAUAGAGCGAGCGAUCCCUGUGCACCAUUCAUCCAUGCUCCCACCUCGCCAGUAUGGCUGGCUUAGUUCUGGAAGGGGCUUAAGAGGAACAAGCCCCAGCUGUGCUUCUGGCUGGGACUUAAACCCCCCUUCUGGGCCCUAAAGCCACGCUUCUUUGUGGACCGGACCUGACUCUCCAGGAAUCUGGGAACCCGCUAUUUCACUCUAUUUUGGGACAAGAAAAAGGGGCUCUUUGGGGCCACUUCCUGCCUUCCCCUCAAGUAGGAUCUCCAGCCUGCAGAGGGUGCCUAGUCCUUCUUUGCCCAAGAACCAGUCCAAGAAGCCUUUCCUCUGUGCCUGGGAAAUGCAACCUUUUCUUGGGAGCAUGGUAGGGUGUUGGUGCUGAAGAACCAAGCAGCGACCCGUCUUGUAGCUGCCAUGUUUUGUCGAGGGGUUCUGGGGGUCCUGCUGCUUUAGAGCCACAUACUUCCACUUCCUGAUUCACUACUGUGAGCUGGUCAGAUGCCUAGAAGAGGAACAAGCGUUCAAAGUGAAAGUGGGCACAUUACCGGAAUAGUGCUGGGGAGAGUGCUGGAUUCUUUUCCACCCCAGGCGGACUGGUGAGAAGCCAGGCUUGGACCUGUCCUCUGCUCCUAGCUUGCACACUCAGCCCUAAACUCAGAGCAGCACGCAUACCACCCCUCACACACACCCCACCAUCUGCUGUCUAAGGCCCCUGGGCUUCCUGCAGGAUCCAGACCAAUGUGGCUGGGCUUGGGCUUUUAUCUGUCCUGAUCCUGGAUUUGUCCUGACCAAUGUAAGUGUCGCCCAAUAAAACCUUCUAUGACCCCCACACCAGCCACCCCCCCACCAAGUGUGCCCUUUCCUUCUUGACUUUUUAGCAGUUCUGGGUAAAUAUUGAUUUGCCCCCAGUUUACCUUCUCCCUGACUGGCCAUUUGCAGACUCAGGAACUAGCCUCUGUAGGGACUUGAUUUUUCUGUUACUUUCUGGCCGUUUCACCACCCCCCUUCCUCCCUCCAAGUGGCAUUGUAAAACUCACAGUGACAAAGAGACAGAGUAGGGUUCUAGGCCCCUGUUCCUGGGGACUUGAAGGCGGUUUUACAUACUGGUCAGACACGGCUGGAGGCCAAGGUCAAGUUGAAAGUUGCAGUCCAGCCAGCAUGAGAACUGCCAUGCGAGCGUAGAGACACAGGCAGCAGCAAAAGGCCCAUUGCCCACAUCCCCUCACUCUUAAUUUUCUCUCUCUUUUUAAAAUUCUCGCCUCUGACUCUGUUCGGCUGCCCAGAAUUUUUUGGUGCCUUCGUGGGGUUUUUGGGGCGGUGUUUACCGACUCUUCUCUGCCUCCGCCCUGCUCAGCCAGGGCUUUGAGCCUCUUCGGUUUUCCGGCCAGACCCGGAAAAACGAAAACACAGCUUGGGGAGCCCCCACUAGCCGGCGCCUGUGCCAGCUCACCUCUGGCCAUGGCGCAGCUGCCGGUGCACACGGCGGCCAAGGCCAGCUCCACAUUCUUCCCUCCCCCUCCCACUUCACCGUAGCCCCGAACCCUGCGCGCAGAGAAAGGGUCUCAGCUCCACAGACGACUGGGUCCCUCCUCACCAAAAAUGGUGAGACAAGAUUUCAUCUGUCGGCCGAGGAGCCACAAGCAGGUACCACAAAGCCACUAGUGCACAGGGACUCAGAAAAGACGGCAGGAGCCCAAGGAAAACUCCAAUUUGAGUACAGCCCUGCCUUGUUUCCCCCAGAGAGUCCCUGAGCAAGGAGACCUCCACCCCACACACACCAUUUCAGAACAACCAGGUUCCAGACUCCCAUGAGGAGCAUCUCCCACUGCAGAGCCUUGGCCAGCCGCGCCCGGACUCCUCAGAGCUGGCGCAAACUCCGUCCUCCAAAACUCGGCUCUGGGAGGCCUAAGUGACUCCGAAGCCGGCGGCAGCCGCGGCAGCGGCCGUGGUGGUGGAAGAGCUCUUUUCCCCGACAGUGCCACUGAUCGCUCUUCACUGGAGCUGGAAACAGCCUUCGCGGAAAGGACCGGAGCAUGCGUUAGAAGCAGAGGGAGCUUGGUGAAGGGCUCGGCUGGAAGGAGGAAACGCCUUCUCGCAGUGCGCGGCCAGCCCGCGGGGGACACCGGCUUGCUGGACUGCAGGGGCCCGUGCCACCCAGGAAGUGACCUGCGGGUCACUCAGCCGGGGCGCUGGGCGAGCGCGGGACGGCCCGGAGAAUUCCGUGCGGCUGCGACGGGAAAAGGACGAGGGGUCUCUGUACCCGACGCUGCCACUGGCCCAAAGGAAUUUUACCCGCGAGCGCCCACCCCACCCUAGCUUGAUGCUUACGCCCGCAACAAAACAGGAAACCAGGACUGGGCAGUGCAUUCUUUAAGUCAACAAAUACACUGAAGACUUCGAGCGUUUGAAGGAAGGAGGGGGUUUGCACGUAAGCCUGGCCCCGCCGGGCUCGGCUUUCUCGCUGAGAAAGCGGCGCAGGCAGCCAGGCGGCCUGGGCCCGCGGGGGUCCAUCUCGCCCUAGACUCCUAAGAACUCCCACGGCCCUGUUCCCAGCUGCGAAUUCUUAAUGCACAACGCGACGGAGGGAAGGAAAUUCACCAGCGCAGCGACGAGGAAGGGGAACUCAGGACCCCUUCAAGUACACACUGAGGUGUGAUCAGAGUUUUAUGGGCACUUUAUAUGCUGUAAUCAUAACGAUGUGUGUGCCUUGAUAUGCACGCAUAUUCACGCAUCAAACGUGCAUACACACACAGAGUGAAUGUGCGCAUCCAAUGUCAUGUGGGUGAAAUACAAGCAUCAUACCCAGCCCUACGAAAAAAAAAUUCACCCUGUCGGACCAGGCUGGUGACAUACUUCGCUGGCGCAUCUCCUUACUCACUCUUACUUUUCCGACCCCUCACCAUUCCCUCUCCUGUGGCUUGGUAAAUACACCUGCCCUCCGUGGAAGGUGAGUCCUGGACUGGCGUUGCCAGGUUCGCAUGUCCUCCCCAGAACCUCCGUCUGGCUCCAGGGACUCUCACUGAGCGGGUCUAGAGCACCCAGCACUUUUCAAGGAACAGCCGCGGUUCCUUUGUCCCGCGGCUCCAGCCCCGUUCGGCCCAGCUCUCAGGGAAACGAAGCGCUCAGUAAGAACUUUUGAUAUUAGUUUGUAUGGGUAUUUACACUCUGGUGAGGGGAGCUGAGUACGGAAGUUCCAUUAAUCAUACUCCAACCUUGGGUUUAGAUAUUCAGUUUAUGGGUUGGGAGAGGGAGUUUGCCGGAAAGAAAGCAUCAAGGUUGGCCGCUGACUCCAGAGAAAUGAAAAGGGAGCAAGGUCGUUUUCUGUUUCUGGAAAUCAAGAAUUAGGAAUGGGCAACUACAGGUGCUAACCAACAGACCACUUUUUUGUUUUUUGGUAGCCCUUUGGCAGGGAUAGUUUUUCCACCUUUGCCCGAUACAAUUUAAAAAAAAAAAUCCUUUUAUUAUGGAAUUUGUCAAACACACACACAAGCAUAACAAACCCCUAGGUACCCAUCUCCAAGUUUUGACCCCUAUUAUAAUUUCAUCUUCAGUGUUUUAUUAUCCACUUCCUCUCUCUCUAUCUUUAGUAUUUUAAAGUAAAUCCCAGAUAGCAUCACAUCAUUUCACCCCCACCAUAGGAUUUCAAAGAUCUGUUAUAUUUCAAGAUUGAGUAAAAGGGCUUGAAAUUGGGUUAUUGCAAUGAAACUCUAGAAAAAGCUUGAGGGUUCACCCAGGAGUAAGCUGGACAAAAAAGGGGUUUGAGGGGUGGACCCAUCUUGCCUAAAAAUCUUGUCUCAUCUUUCUAAAAAUUACAUAUGAAAGAGGAAGAUUUAUGUUACUUUUUUAUAUGAGAGAAUCGUCCUUUAAUAGAAAAUUUCUAUUGCUGCAUCAGAAUUAUGGAGGAACACAAAAAACAUACCUCAGUCCUUAGUGUGUCCUAAAUUAACACAUAUUCACUUAUUAGUGGGUAAAUGACUAUAUUUCAUUUCAGCACAACUUCUCCCCUGGUAGAAACACAAAAGAAAUUUCUAAUGAUUAAACUAGGAAAGUUUGCACUGAAUUGAUGGCUUAUCAGAGCAACCGCAGUUUUCAGGAAGAAAUUCAAUGCCAUGCGUUGAAAAUAUCCCCCUAGCAAUAAGGGAUUAUUUUUAAAAAAGAAUGAAUAAAGAUGUUCUGGUUUCUUUUGUUUUAAUCUGGUAGUCUCAUUUACAACGAGCAUGAUUCUCCCUGUCGAACUCUGAAAGUGACUUAACUGAAAGGCUUGGCAACUUCAGAAAGCAAAAAGGUAAAAACAGAAAAUAGCACACGGUUGAAUUUGACAACUUUUACACUACCCGGCUGCUUAAUAAAUUCUAACCCCACUUGUCUGAGUGGAUACUGAUCAUCUUUUCUAUGGCAGUAUUUUGUAUUUGGGUUGUUUAUGGUUUCUUAAUUAAUUUUUUUGAGUAGUGAUUAAAUAUCUGGGAUGCUUUUACACUAAGCAUAUAAAUUCUCAUGGUAUUAGAAAAGAGCUAUUUGAUGAAACUCAUAAGGGGUAUGUAAAUUAAAAAAGAGAAGAAAGUGUGUGUACAUAUUUUACAAUAAUCUCGAACGACUCCAACUAUAUGUUGCAGAAGCCAUGAGCUCUCUGCCCACUGUCUGUGGGGUAUCAGCAAGAUUGACUCCUACCAAGCCUUGGGCACAGUGGUGG
rnacentral:lncRNA from 10 species